rnacentral:rRNA from 1 species
AUGUCUUUGGGAAGGCAAAUCCACAAAGAUCCGCUGAAGGGGAAACAAGAAGAAGUGAAAAUCAGUUGGCUUUGGCUGUUGCUUCGACUUCAAUUCCAUCUGAGAAUGCACCACCUCAGCCUCGACCCCAACUGCAAAGUGAAACACAAGGAAAAUGGCAGUAAGAAAAUGGCCUAUGAUGCUGAGCUUCUUCCACAUGAUCCUGUCAAAAGGAUAUCUACCACGAUGCAUUCUAUGAAUUAUCAAGGAGCUCUUCACAGAAGGUCCAUGCUCAAAGGGCCAUGUCAACCCUAUCACCAUUAUUUUCUGGGGAAGCCCACCGGUGUAUAUUCUACAAAAUUAAGGGGAACUUACAGACUGUACAGGAACAGAGAUUGUAACAAGUCAAGGAGAUGUUGA